AUUACUGUGAUAAAUAAAACUUUAGUCAUCAUUUAUUUACAUACUUAUUCAUUUAACAGAAUUUAGGAUUCACUUUCUUUCUGCUAAAGUGGAGAUUCAACUUGUUUCAGAGACUGAGGUCAUGGAAUGGUGGUUUUGUGAGCAUCUCCAAACUUAACUUUGGUUAAUGGCUAUGAACCAGUGGCACCUAUUAACAGUUCAUACCUUUUACACCUUAUUUCUAGAUUACCAAGAUUGACCUGGAAAUUCUCAACAUGGGAAAAAAAAUGAAGCCUCAGACCCAAAUCUUCUAACAUUUAAAUCAUCUCAUAGAUCCUCAAGAACUUGAAGCAAUUGGAACAAAAGUCUGUUCAUAUGAUAAAGAAGAGGAAUUCUUUUCUGAAGAACUUGUGCCUAUUGACUCUUUUCCCGUCCCUAUGCAUGCUUGAGAAGAAAGCACCUCCUUCUCCACCACAGCUGCACUUUCAAGUACUGAAAGAGUGAAACUGCAUCACCCCAAGCCCUCUUCUCUCCAGGUUGAAAAAACUCCAUUUCUCUGAUUUUCUUCUGAGGGAUUUUUUCACAUGCUGUUCCACUAUCCCACUGUUUUACUCAGGAAUCUACAGUACCUACAGUAACGGAUUGAACAACAUUGCUUCUGAAUAUGCAUACUUAGAAAGUAAAGAAUAAUCACUUCAAAGCC